rnacentral:rRNA from 1 species
CCAUAGAGCUUACAUACUCUAAAAGAACAAGAUUCCAUCUGAUUUUGGAAACUAAGCAGGGUCAACCUUAAUUAGUACUUGGAUGGGAUACCACCAAAGACUACCAGGGGCUGUAUGUA